rnacentral:ncRNA from 1 species
GGGUGCGGUAGAGGCGCGGUGUAUCAAGAGUAACCCGUGGAGGCGGCGGCCGGUGAAGCGGGCGAAAGGGGUCACCGCCGAAGUCCUGCAGCUGGCGGGCUGCUGGGCUGGGACUGCAUCGAACAGAUGCAGUACUGUCACCUGAAGCUGCCCGGGCUUCAGGUGGAGCGCUAUCACACGC